rnacentral:pre_miRNA from 1 species
AUACAAAUCACCUGAAGAUCUUGUUAAAAUGUAGGUUCUGAUUUGGUAGAUUUUGGGGCCUGGGAUUCUGCAUUUCUAACAAGUUCCCAGGAGCUGCUGAU